rnacentral:rRNA from 1 species
GACGAACGCUGGCGGCGUGCCUAAUACAUGCAAGUAGAACGCUGAAGCUUGGUGCUUGCACCGAGCGGAUGAGUUGCGAACGGGUGAGUAACGCGUAGGUAACCUGCCUGGUAGCGGGGGAUAACUAUUGGAAACGAUAGCUAAUACCGCAUAAUAGUAGAUGUUGCAUGACAUUUGCUUAAAAGGUGCAAUUGCAUCACUACCAGAUGGACCUGCGUUGUAUUAGCUAGUUGGUGAGGUAACGGCUCACCAAGGCAACGAUACAUAGCCGACCUGAGAGGGUGCUCGGCCACACUGGGACUGUGACACGGCCCAGACUCCUACGGGAGGCAGCAGUAGGGAAUCUUCGGCAAUGGACGGAAGUCUGACCGAGCAACGCCGCGUGAGUGAAGAAGGGUUUCGGAUCGUAAAGCUCUGUUGUAAGAGAAGAACGAGUGUGAGAGUGGAAAGUUCACACUGUGACGGUAUCUUACCAGAAAGGGACGGCUAACUACGUG